GAUGAACGCUGGCGGCGUGCCUAAUACAUGCAAGUCGAGCUAACAGACGAGGAGCUUGCUCCUCUGACGUUAGCGGCGGACGGGUGAGUAACACGUGGAUAACCUACCUAUAAGACUGGGAAAACUUCGGGAAACCGGAGCUAAUACCGGAUAACAUGUUGAACCGCAUGGUUCAACAGUGAAAGACGGUCUUGCUGUCACUUAUAGAUGGAUCCGCGCCGCAUUAGCUAGUUGGUAAGGUAACGGCUUACCAAGGCAACGAUGCGUAGCCGACCUGAGAGGGUGAUCGGCCACACUGGAACUGAGACACGGUCCAGACUCCUACGGGAGGCAGCAGUAGGGAAUCUUCCGCAAUGGGCGAAAGCCUGACGGAGCAACGCCGCGUGAGUGAAGAAGGUCUUCGGAUCGUAAAACUCUGUUAUUAGGGAAGAACAAAUGUGUAAGUAACUAUGCACGUCUUGACGGUACCUAAUCAGAAAGCCACGGCUAACUACGUG
rnacentral:rRNA from 1 species